rnacentral:ncRNA from 1 species
ACAGUACAAACUGAUCAGGCCGAUGAAUUAUUUUGUUUAUGGAGCCGGGCCUUAAUUGGCAACAGGAUUAUAAAAACACCUGUGGGACAGU